ACGUUUUCCCGCUCGGGACGCACGAGCCGCUCCGACUGGGCAAGCGCAGUGCGCGUGUGGGGGAGGGGAGGGGAGGGCGCGCGCAUGCGCGCCUCCUCCCGCCGCCUUUCCAACGAGCCCAGUCCCCAAACCUAGUCGGGGCUCUACCCAAACUGACGUCCUUCGAGGCUUCUUCCUCCAAAUCCCCCCUACGAAUGUCCCUCUUCUUCGAUCCUCCCCCCAGCCUCCUCUCCCAGUUCUUCUGAUCCCUCUACUUCAAUCUCCCACCCCUUCUCCCUUAUCCCCCAGCCCCUUCCUCUCGUUGCCCAGAGCCCCCUUUUCUAAUACCCGCAGACCGCUCCCCUCCGAUCCGCUGUCUCCUAAUCCUCUCAGAUCUCCCUCCUCUCCCUCCCAAAUCUCCCGCAUGCUUCAACCCUCUCCCUGAUCCUCCGAACCCCAUCCCCUGCUCUUCUUAGAUCUCCGCCCUAAUCCCCCUUCACCUUCCCCUAAACUGCCGUCUCCUUUCAUUUCUCCAUAUCCCCCUGCUAAUUUCCCUGAACUUCUCACCCCUACAGACCCCUUCCUCCAUCUCAAGAUCACUUCUGAUUUUCAAAGACCCUCCCCAGCCUCCCCCGUUUAUUCUCCCUGGACCCCCACACCCAUCUCCUUUGACUGAUUGCUGCUAAGCCUCUGCUCUGCCUCUGCUCACCCUCCUUCCCAUGAGGCUUCUGCCCCUUUCAGGCCCUUCCUCCUAUCCCUAGCUUGGCCCUAGGCUGACCACUGGGCAGCCCCCCUCAUGCCCACACUCCCCCCUCACUGCCCUGUGGAGCUGGGCUCCCUCAGAGAGCAGGACAGCCCCCUGGCCCAGCUACACCAACUGGCGAUUGCCGGAGGACCCUGCUGGCGGCUGGCCAGGGUCCUGAAAAAAGGGGUACAGGUGGAUGGGGAAAACUCAUCAGGUCAGACCAGCCUCUUCCUGUCAGCGCUCCUGGGCCAAGCCGGUGCUGUUAGACUUCUUCUCCACUUUGGAGCAGACCCCAAUCACCGCUGCUUGGAUAGAAGUACCCCAGUCCAUGCAGGAGCUUUCUCCGGUCGUGGCCAGGUCCUCCUUUGGCUGCUGGAGGCUGGCGGAGAUCUGAGGCUGCAUGACCAGCAGGGCUGGACAGCCGGGGAUUGGGCCCGGCAGGCUAGAUCAGAGAGCCGGGAAAGACAAAAUGAUGGCAUAUGGUGGUUAGUGAGCUGGCCUCCAAGACAGGAAGACUUGGUCUUGGAGCUCCUUCAAGAUUGCCGAGCCAGAAUGUCCCUGCUGGCCCAGGGGGGUGAGACUGCACUGGCUUCGUCCUUGGGGGAGCUGUGGGGGCUCCGGGCUGGAACUCUGGGAAACCUGCACCUGGCCCUGUCCUCCCAGCUCUGGCCUCUGGCCAAAGGGUCACUGUGGCCCAAUCGGAUGCAGAGGUCCCCCCAGAUCCCAGGGCUGGGGUUUGGCCAGCUGAGCAGUCUGAGACCUCUGGGCCUUACCUCUGGGGUUCCCCUGGUUGAUCCUGAAGAGUUGCUCCCAGCACAGGGGGAGCCUGACCGGACAUAUGAUUGCGGCGCCCACACCAUUAUGAUCAACCUCCUGUGGAGGGGACACCGAGUGACCGUUCGGAAACUGAGGCCACCCCCAGCCCCGGCCCUCCCAGACCUGCUGUUCUCUGACCUGAAGCAUUGCAGCUUCCUCCAUCACCCAAACUUACUGCUGCUCAUGGCCCUGAGCCCCUCCCCUGACCUGGCCGGCCUGUCUCUCCUGUUUGAGCCCAUCCAGGAGGGCUCCCUGCACCAAGUGCUGCACCCCCAAGGGGAUGUGGCCUGCCCCAGAAUUCCCCCUGGAUUCUUCCCAGGGCAGCUGCUGUUACAGGUGCUGGAGGCCCUGCUGUUCCUCCAAGGCCAGGCCCGGGCCCACGGGGGCCUCAGCUCCCACGCAGUCCAGCUGGUUCGACCUGGGCUGGCCAAAGUCAGCAACCUGGAGCACGGGCGAUCCUUGCCCCGGCCCCAGCCAGAGCGAGCAUUUCCUUGGGGAGGCCCGAGCCCAGGGCCAUCUCCACCCUCUGAGCUGUACCCCUGGCUGCCACUGGAGCUGAUUCGGGGGGACCCUCCCACCUUGACUUCUGACUUUUACAGCUUCUGCAUUCUGACCCAAGAGGUCUUUACUGGGAACCUUCCCUGGGCUGGGCAAGAAGGCCUGCAGGUCAAAGCAAAGCUGGAGUCCGGGGAGGUGCCGGCGCUUGAUCCCCAGGUUCCCCUGACCUACCAGCCCCUGGUCAAGGCAGGACUGGGGCUGUGGCCUCGAGACCGAAAAGGCAGCCUACAGGACACCCGAUACAAGUUGAGGGUGGUGUUAGCUCAGGAGUCUGCACUCAAAGAAGCCUCUUUGGGCAGUCUGGGCGGUCCCCCUUCAGAGCCAAAGACCCUACCACUGCCACCUGGUAAGGAGGGGCAAGUGGGCAGGGAAGGCAUCCACCCUCCAGUCCAGCAUCAUUUGCCUUGCCCUGCACACACAGAGCAGCUCUCUGAGGUGGAUCUCAAGGUCACUAGCACACCUAGACCUCCAUCCCCCAAGAUGGCCCCAAACCCCAAACCAUCUGAGACUUUGAAGUCCCCUGAGAGCAGUGGGGCCUGGGGAAACACCUGGAGCUCCCCAGCCUUGGACUCGGGAAGCAGCCUAAGCCUGAGCUCCCAGACUGAAGAAGCGUCACCAGCAGACAAGAGGAAGAUACCCAGUCCAGAGAGGCCAGCCCUGCUGACCAGUCUGGAAGGGUCAGCCUCCCUGCUGGGCCAGGUCCAGGGCUCCCUGGAGGAACUGGAGAGAAGGUUCCCAGCCAGGAUCUGGGCCCUGCAAGAUCUAUCAGAUGUCUUAGAGGCAUCCGCAUCCCCAUACACCUGCCCUCAGAGUGGCCCCAGUCUUCAGGAAUGCAUAGACCUUGCGGCCCAGGCCUGACACCUGGACAGACAGGAGGGUCAGACCCAGGUGUCGGUUCCUGAGCUGGCUAAAGCUGGUCCCUUCACCAGCCUGCAGAAGGGCCUCCAAGCCAAGGAGCUGAGAGUGGAC